GUCGGUGUUUUUAUCGUUGAGGUUCCACCCGUUCCCAUUCCGAACACGGUAGUUAAGCUCUUCUGUGCCUACAAUACUUGGCUGGUGACGGCCUGGGAAGAUUGGUCAAUGCCGACU
rnacentral:rRNA from 1 species